CGACCGCGACAGGACUCGAACCUGCAAUCCUCAGAUCCGAAGUCUGAUGCCUUAUCCAUUAGGCCACGCGGCC
rnacentral:tRNA from 1 species